rnacentral:rRNA from 1 species
UUGUUCCUACGGGACGCAGCAGUGAGGUAUAUUGGUCAAUGGGCGGGAGCCUGAACCAGCCAAGUCGCGUGAGGGAUGACGGCCCUAUGGGUUGUAAACCUCUUUUGCCGGGGAGCAAAGUGCCGCACGUGUGCGGUUUGGAGAGUACCCGGAGAAAAAGCAUCGGCUAACUCCGUGCCAGCAGCCGCGGUAAUACGGAGGAUGCGAGCGUUAUCCGGAUUUAUUGGGUUUAAAGGGUGCGCAGGCGGAAGAUCAAGUCAGCGGUAAAAUUGAGAGGCUCAACCUCUUCGAGCCGUUGAAACUGG